UACAGAGGUUUCGAGCGUUAGGCGGAAUCACUGGGCUUAAAGCGUGUGUAGGUGGAUGCCUAAGUACCUUGUGAAAUCCCACGGCUUAACCGUGGAACUGCUGGGUAUACUGGUUGUCUUGAGCCAGCUAGGGGCGAGCGGAACAGACGGUGGAGCGGUGAAAUGCGUAGAUAUCGUCUGGAACGCCGAAGGUGAAAACAGCUCGCUGGGGCUGCGCUGACGCUGAGACACGAAAGCCAGGGGAGCGAACGGG
rnacentral:rRNA from 1 species